rnacentral:rRNA from 1 species
UGACACUAAGACGCGAAAGCUAGGGUAGCAAACGGGAUUAGAGACCCCGGUAGUCCUAGCCGUAAACGAUGUCAACUAGGCGUUGGUGGGUUAAUAGCCAUCAGUGCCGCAGCUAACGCGAUAAGUUGACCGCCUGGGGACUACGAUCGCAAGAUUAAAACUCAAAGGAAUUGACGGGGCCCCGCACAAGCAGCGGAGCGUGUGGUUUAAUUCGAUGCUACACGAAGAACCUUACCUGGGCUUGACAUGUCGAUGAACGAUUGCGAAAGCAUGAGGCUCCCUUCGGGGACAUCGUCACAGGUGUUGCAUGGCUGUCGUCAGCUCGUGUCGUGAGAUGUUCGGUUAAGUCCGGUAACGAGCGCAACCCUCGCCGUAUGUUAUAUGUGUCAUGCGGGACCGCCGGUUUCAAACCGGAGGAAGGUGGGGAUGACGUCAAGUCAGCAUGGCCUUUAUGUCCAGGGCUACACACACGCUACAAUGGGCGGUACAAUGGGUGGCCAAACCGCGAGGUGGAGCCAAUCCCCCAAAGCCGUCCCCAGUUCAGAUUGCAGGCUGCAACUCGCCUGCAUGAAGUCGGAGUUGCUAGUAAUCGCGCGUCAGCUAUAGUGCGGUGAAUACGUUCUCGGGGCUUGUACACACCGCCCGUCACGUCAUGGAAGUUGGUAACACCUAAAGCCGGUAGCUUAACCCUCACGGGAAGGCGCCGUCUAAGGUGGGGCUGAUAACUAGGACGAAGUCGUAACAAGGUA